rnacentral:lncRNA from 1 species
CUAGCCCUCUCCAUCUUCAUUAAGAUGUUGUUUGGCAGUAGGAGACACAGUAUUGCAGAAACCUAAAUUUUAGCAAAGCAAGGUCUUUAAUGUUUGUGAAUAUGGGAAAUAGCAAGCUUUGAUAUUAAACAACAACAACAAAAAAACAAAACGCUGAUUGAGAUCUAGCCAAGCCUUUUCCCAGGUUUGAAGCUCAACUCUGGGACCGUAAUUCUGAUUAUCCUUUCAGGAGGGGAGACUUCAAGGGAUUUUACUCUGACAUCUUCUGGACUUCUAUUUGUUGCACGUCUGAAUGUCUGAUGCCAAGUCUUUGUGGUCUACCAGCAAACCUUGGAUUAAAUGAGGAACUGCCUCUUAUAUGAAGAAGACGCACAAAGUAGUGUGGAGCUGCUGGGGACAAAGCCUGAAGUUGACAUCAUCCUUCAAUUCUCAUCAAUAGAAGUAAAUGAAAAUACUCAAAUGACAACAUGGAGAAACACUGAAGGCAGUCAAAGUAAAACACGCCAUUCUGAUAGUGUGCAACAGUACUCUGGAGGAUGCUCAGUUCAGCUUUCUUGUGAUACCGUUAUUGACUGA